UGGAUUCAUCAAAUUUCAACGAGCUGCUUGCUCACUUCAUAACAUCGGUUCUCCAAUUUUUGUUUUUAUGGUUGGCCUGCCAGUUUACUCUUCAUUCCAUGAGUGGUGUGGUUGGAAACUUUGCGAUACUGUUGUUCUCUUUUUCUCAUAUUCGUACGAACUUAAAACUCAUGGUAUUUUUGCAUUUCCAGCUUUCCUGCAAUCUUUUAAGACUUAGAAAACUUGACUAGACUGGCGGCAUUUAACAGAAGCAGAUCACUGUAUUAAUUCUAAAACUUUAUCGGAGCCAAAAAAACGAAUAGUUAGCUUGAACUGUUACACGAUGAAAAAAUUUCCAUCACCGAAUAGCUGUUUUGAAAAAUUUUGCAGACCUUCUCCGGUAGCUUCGAUGGUUUGUAAGCUCACAUAAGGAAACCAUUACCGCGUGAAAUACUCGUAUAUGUAUCUACCAUUUUCAUAUCUUCUCUUGUGCAAUUCGUAUUAAUGGUGUACUUUGUAUGUGAAAAUAACAGAUGGGACAGACAUGAAAGUAUACUCGGGCUAGCACAA
rnacentral:lncRNA from 1 species